rnacentral:lncRNA from 1 species
ACGGGUUAUUCUGUUUCUUCAGAUAGGGACUCCUGUUUUUUGAUGGGGUUUUACAGUUUAGCUGCACGAUCAGUUUUUUCAAUGUGGUCAGUCAAUUCGGCGAAGAUGGAAGGAGGCGGUAGCGUGUACCACCAAGGCGCCGCAAACGGCGGCGCUUCGCUCGCCCCGGGGACAUCGGGAAGGCCUCCGCCAGGUACGAGCCGCAGCCAGCGUACGCGCGGGGGCAAAAAUGCUACUUACGAAUCAAUUCUAGGUAACCUUUCGCACCUUCCUUCUCCAUUAAUCAAGACUUUCCCCCGAUUUUCAGGGUGGGCCCGGGCGCCCCUAAUGACUAAUGAUAGCCCUCCAAAUAAAUAAAAAAGUACUUCCUUCGUUUCAAAAUAGAUGACUUAACUUUGUACUAAGGGAGUACGUUUCAGGGGGACACGGCGAUGGGCGCGGGGGAGAUGAACAGAACGUCGGAAGGAUGAAGAAGGCAUCUGGCCGUUCCUUGCAUCAGAUGGCUGGAAACACAUUUGAUACAUCCAAAUUAACAUAUCAGUCGACUUACCUCUAGCCAAUCCCAGUGUUUCAACUUGCGCUCUAUAUGCCCUCAAAAGAAAGUACGCGCGCUCUCACUUUUUUGAGUUGGAAAAUACUUUUUGCUCUAUAUACAUGUGUAUAUAUGCUCCAUCUAAGAUGCUUGUAGCGACACCUUUAUUACUAAAUAGCUGCAACGAGCUAUUUUUCGCAAGGAGCAAAAGAUACUAGAUAG